GGCGAUAUGUCUACGCUGGUUCAAAUCCAGCUCGGCCCA
rnacentral:tRNA from 1 species